UCUUCAUUUCGCGCACUCUCUCACCGGUCAGAGAGUCGAGAGAGAGAGAGUGCGCGAAAUGAGGAGA
rnacentral:pre_miRNA from 1 species